rnacentral:rRNA from 1 species
GACGAAGGAUGCAAGCGUUAUCCGGAUUCAUUGGGUUUAAAGGGAGCGUAGGUGGCCUUGUAAGUCAGUGGUGAAAUCUGGCAGCUUAACUGCUAAAUUGCCAUUGAUACUGCAGGGCUUGAGUACAGGUGCCGUUGGCGGAAUAUGACAUGUAGUGGUGAAAUACAUAGAGAUGUCAUAGAACACCGAUUGCGAAGGCAGCUGACGAAACUGUAACUGACACUGAGGCUCGAAAGCCAGGGGAGCAAACGGG